rnacentral:rRNA from 1 species
AUUGAACGCUGGCGGCAUGCUUUACACAUGCAAGUCGAACGGUAGACCCUUUCGGGGGUUGAGAGUGGCGAACGGGUGAGUAAUGCAUCGGAACGUGCCUAGUCGUGGGGGAUAACGUAGCGAAAGUUACGCUAAUACCGCAUACGCACUGAGGUGGAAAGCGGGGGACCGUAAGGCCUCGCGCGAUUGGAGCGGCCGAUGUCGGAUUAGCUAGUUGGUGAGGUAAAGGCUCACCAAGGCGACGAUCCGUAGCGGGUCUGAGAGGAUGAUCCGCCACACUGGGACUGAGACACGGCCCAGACUCCUACGGGAGGCAGCAGUGGGGAAUUUUGGACAAUGGGCGCAAGCCUGAUCCAGCCAUGCCGCGUGCGGGAAGAAGGCCU